AAUCCCCUGCUGGGUCUUCUUACUAAUAACAACUGUUUUCGUCUUCUCUGAGGUGAUUUUCGACCAUUUUCGACGCACUUCUUUUGACAUUCUGAACUACCGCAGAAAUGUCAGAGCACGUCACGUGACCAUUCUAAGCGAAUCACGUUGUCAGAAAUUGGCAUCAGCCAAUGAGAUUGCCCUUUUAGAAUCAAAUCCCCCUUUUACUUCCACGAUUGGUUGCUGAUGAAAAGGAGAUUGCCAUAUUUGGAUCCGACAGCAUUGUAGAGGAGAGAGCUUUCCAGCGGCAUAUGCAUUGGGUAUAUGAGAUGACAGGGUGCAGACAGCGAUCGCGGAGCAGCGGGAUGAUUAAGACCGCUGCGAAGUACACACCGUUGCCAUGAAAAACAGAGCGUUGCUAUCGCUACACACAGCCUACGACGUAGCUACGGCGGCAGUUCGACGCGAGGCGUUUGUGCAAAACUGCGGAAAAACUGCAGAUAAAGUGUGGGUGUUGAACCCUCUCACCGGGAAAAGUGUGGGUGUUAAAACACCCACAUCCCCCACGGGUGCGACGCCACUGAAGGGGAGGGAUGGUAAUCAAGGAGGAGAAUUCACUCUAACCUGUGGAGGAGAUGGUUGGAUCGGGAGGUCAACGUGUACAGAAAUAACAUGUGACAGAAAGGAUUUGCGAGAGGCAGAUAUUGUUUACAAUAACAAGCAGAGAUACCGCUACAAUGAACAGGUCCGUUAUCGCUGCAGGGAUGGUUACCAAGGAGGAGAAUUCACUCUAACCUGUGGAGGAGAUGGUUGGAUCGGGAGGUCAACGUGUACAGAGAGUGUAGGCUGUGGGAGUCCACCACCUCUCACAGAUGGAGACAUCAAGUACACCAUUAAAAGUAAUUACAGCCAUCAAGAAAGGGUUGAAUUCAUGUGUCAAAGUUAUUACACCAUGGAGGGUGGACCUAACAGAACCUGCAUCAACGGUGAAUGGACCGGACAGAUGAGAUGCCUCAAACCCUGUAUUGUGAAUGAAGAUGUCUAUAGACAACACAACAUUACUAUAAAAUCUAGUGACAGUACAUUUUUCACUCAUGAUGAAAUAAUUGAGUUCAGGUGUGCCAGAGGAGUACCAGUCGGUGCAGUGGCAAUGCGUCAGAGGUGUAAUGGGGGUGUGAUUCUCCUGCCUACCUGCCAGUGAGAGGCAUCUGAAAAUGAAGACAGGAAAGGUGGUAGAAAGAGGGGGGGACGACAUGCAGCAAAGGGGCCAACUCGGGGUUGAACUCGACCUGGGCCGCUGCAGUGAGGACUGAGCCUAAGUACAUGGGGGCAUAUGGUUAACAAGUGAUGUGAUUCAUGACAUGGGAACCAUGAGUGUUGUGGUUAUCGAUAUUUCUGUUGGGGUUGUUUAUAUUUUUGUUGCCUGUUUGCGUAUUUCUGUAUGUUUCUGGUUUUGUGUGUUUAUUCUGUAUAUUUCUGUUCCCUGUUGUGUAGAUUUAUCCUGUUUUGUGUAUUCUGAGUAGUGUAUGUUUCUGUUUCCUGUUUUAUUUUGAUAGUCUGUUUUCUGUCUUGUCAUGUCUAGUUUUGCUUCCUGUGUGAUUGUCUGAUGUCCACCUGUUCCCCAGCCCUGGGGUCACCUGUCCCGUGUUUGCUCGUUACCUAGUUUAUUUAGCCUCUGUGUUUCCGUUGUCUCUUGUCAGAUCGUUGUUUGUGUUUGUGUCUUUCCUUGUCAGUUUGUUUCCUGUCAGUGUUUUUCACCCAUGUGCUUUUAUUUAGAAUUUUCCCUGUGAUCUUUUGUU